rnacentral:rRNA from 1 species
UACGUAGGGUGCGAGCGUUAUUCGGAAUUACUGGGCGUAAAGAGCACGUAGGCGGUUUGAUAAGCGGGAUGUGAAAGCCCCGGGCUUAACCUGGGAACUGCAUUCCGAACUGUCAGGCUAGAGUAUGAUAGAGGUGAGCGGAAUUUCCUGUGUAGCGGUGAAAUGCGUAGAUAUAGGAAGGAACAUCAGUGGCGAAGGCGGCUCACUGGAUCAAUACUGACGCUGAGGUGCGAAAGCGUGGGUAGCGAACAGG